ACCCCAAGGUAGCUGAGGAAGAAAGAGGAGUGUGACUCCAACAUGGGCUCAUGAGUGUCAGGGCUCAGGGUUUGGGCUGUAAAGGAGGAAUCAGAAUGAGAACUCAAGUCCCUAACCUGUGUCUCAGAGCCUGUGUGCCAGAAGCAGAGAAGGUGACUGAGAGUCCGGCUCUGAGGACACACCUCUCAACCCCACUUCUCCCAUGCUGAGCUUGCAAUCUGAAACAAACCUCCCUCUCCAGGCCUUAGGUGCUCACCUGUAACACACAGGAAACAAAGACAUAGACAGAAGACAGGGGAUGGAGAUUCCAUGUCAUGUAACACCGGCCAGAACAUGUGGCAGGAUACCGACAUCAUCACAUUUAUCCUCUAGCCAUCCUAGAAGGGAAGAGGCUACUAUUGGAAUUCUACAGAAGACAAAGCUGAGGCAGAAAAACAAAUAACAGCAAUUUAGACAGAACAUGCUCCAGAGCUUGAUAUAUUUGCACCCAAAUUCUUAUUUGCAUCUGAGAGACACGAGCCCUAUGAAUGUUUCCUCGCCCCACUGGUAUAAGAUGUCACU